rnacentral:rRNA from 1 species
UACAGAGGUCCCAAGCGUUGUUCGGAUUCACUGGGCGUAAAGGGUGCGUAGGCGGUCGGAUAAGUCUGACGUGAAAUCUCCGGGCCUAACCCGGAAACUGCGUUGGAAACUAUCUGGCUAGAGGAAUGGAGGGGAGACUGGAAUACUUGGUGUAGCAGUGAAAUGCGUAGAUAUCAAGUGGAACACCAGUGGCGAAGGCGGCUCUCUGGGACGGUACUGACGCUGAGACGCGAAAGCGUGGGGAGCGAACAGG